rnacentral:rRNA from 1 species
GAUGAACGCUGGCGGCGUGCCUAAUACAUGCAAGUCGAGCGAACAGACGAGGAGCUUGCUCCUCUGGCGUUAGCGGCGGACGGGUGAGUAACACGUGGAUAACCUACCUAUAAGACUGGGAUAACUUCGGGAAACCGGAGCUAAUACCGGAUAAUAUAUUGAACCGCAUGGUUCAAUAGUGAAAGACGGUUUUGCUGUCACUUAUAGAUGGAUCCGCGCCGCAUUAGCUAGUUGGUAAGGUAACGGCUUACCAAGGCAACGAUGCGUAGCCGACCUGAGAGGGUGAUCGGCCACACUGGAACUGAGACACGGUCCAGACUCCUACGGGAGGCAGCAGUAGGGAAUCUUCCGCAAUGGGCGAAAGCCUGACGGAGCAACGCCGCGUGAGUGAGGAAGGUCUUCGGAUCGUAAAACUCUGUUAUUAGGGAAGAACAAAUGUGUAAGUAACUAUGCACGUCUUGACGGUACCUAAUCAGAAAGCCACGGCUAACUACGU